GUGAGGAAUAUUGCGCAAUGGAGGCAACUCUGACGCAGCCAUGCCGCGUGCAGGAAGAAGGCGCUACGCGUUGUAAACUGCUUUUAACCAGGAAGAAACCCCAGGACGUGUCCUGGGUUGACGGUACCGGAGGAAUAAGCACCGGCUAACUUCGUGCCAGCAGCCGCGGUAAUACGAAGGGUGCAAGCGUUAUCCGGAUUCAUUGGGUUUAAAGGGUGCGUAGGCGGAGCGUUAAGUCAGUGGUGAAAUCCUGCAGCUUAACUGUAGACUUGCCAUUGAUACUGGCGCUCUUGAGUGCGCUUGAAGUGGGCGGAAUGUGCCGUGUAGCGGUGAAAUGCUUAGAUAUGGCACAGAACACCAAUUGCGAAGGCAGCUCACUAAGGCGAUACUGACGCUGAGGCACGAAAGCGUGGGGAUCGAACAGGAUUAGAAACCCGAGUAGUCC
rnacentral:rRNA from 1 species